ACAUUGUAGAGAACGAGAAAUAAUGAGUAAUUGAAAAAGGCAUGUUCUUCCCCAUAAGGAACUCUCUUGAUCUUCUCUUACAUUAAGAAAAGCAACCAAACAUUUUAGAAUUUCCAGAAUCGGUAUUUGAGUCAAUGAUUUGAUCAAAUGUGAGAGAAAUCGGAACCUGAGAGAGUUAUCUGGGUUUUCUAAGUUGGAAAUUUAAGGGUAAAUUUUUUACUACUGGGUGUAUAAAGAGAUUUGCUGGGUACAUUUAGCAAAACCCAUAGAAAAAGGGAUAAAAAUGCAAUCUAAGGAUAUUUACGAGCUGAGUCGAAAUUCGAAUGUUCUCUCGAGGCACAGCCGGUCGCGGUUGAACUCUUUAUGAGUCUUUCUUGUCACUCCCGGUCCUUGUUCUCCACUCUCCAACACCACACUCGUCUAAAGGACCUCCAAAGAGGCAAAACCCUCCACGCUCACAUCAUCACAACCGGUUCCUCCUCUUGCGUCUACAUUGCCAAUGCCCUCAUCAACCUCUACGUCAAAUCCGGACACUUACACACAGCCCACCUCGUAUUCGAAACCGUACCUCACAAAGACGUGGUCUCAUGGAACACCCUCAUCAACGGCUACUCUCAACAGGGCUUCAGAUACUCCUCGUUUGUGUUGGACCUUUUUCGACGCAUGCGGGGUGAGAACGCCUCCCCGGAUUCGCACACUUUUGCUGGAGUUUGUAAUGCUGCUUCAUAUGUAAACGAUGUUUUGGGUGGCGGACAAGUUCACACGGUUGCUCUUAAGGCUGUGGGCUGUUUUGAUGUGUUUGUUGGAAGCUCUCUUGUUAAUAUGUAUUGUAAGAUGGGUCUUGUAAGGGAUGCACGUAAGGUGUUUGAUGAAAUGCUUGUGAGGAAUUCGGUUACUUGGGCUACUAUGAUUUCUGGGUAUGCAAUGCAACAGUUGGGUGCAAAUGCGUUAGAGGUUUUUAUGCUGCUGCGUAGGAGUGAGGAGAGGGAAGAAGAGAAUGAGUUUGUUUUGACCGCGGUUCUUAGUGGUUUGGGGGUUCCUGAAUUUGUUGAUACAGGCAAGCAGAUUCAUUGUCUUGCGGUGAAAAAUGGGCUGAUGUGUAAUGUUUCUGUUGGGAAUGCGCUUGUCACGAUGUAUGCGAAAUGUGGGAGUUUAGAUGAUGCUCUUAGAACUUUUGAGCUGUCUGGUGAUAAGAAUUCUAUCACAUGGUCUGCGAUGAUAUCUGGUUUUGCGCAGAGUGGGGAUUCGGAAAAGGCUUUGGACUUGUUUUCAGACAUGCAUUUUUCUGGGAUAGUGCCGACCGAGUUUGCGUUUGGUGGGGUCAUCAGUGCCUGUAGUGACAUCAAUGCUCUUGAACAAGGAAAGCAAGUGCAUAGUUAUGUGCUCAAGUUGGGAUUUAAAUUCCAAUUAUAUAUAAUUUCAGCUUUGGUUGACAUGUAUGGCAAAUGUGGUAGCGUUAGUGAUGCUCGGAAAGGGUUUGAUUGUAUAAAAGAGCCUGAUAUUGUUCUUUUUAGUUCUAUGAUCGGAGGGUAUGUACAAAAUGGGGAGAAUGAAGCUGCCUUGAGUUUAUACUGUAGAAUGCAGAGGGAGGGAUUUUUGCCCAAUGAACUCACAAUGGCCAGUCUCCUGAAAGCAUGUUCAAGCCUAUGUGCUUUUGAACAAGGAAAGCAAAUCCAUGCGCAUACCAUUAAGUAUGGAUUCAGUCUUGAAUUUCCAAUUGGAAGUUCUCUUUUCACUAUGUAUGCAAAGUGUGGGAAUUUGGAAGAUGGGAAGUUAGUGUUUAGGAGAAUGCCUACAAGAGAUGUAGUGUCUUGGAAUGCAAUGAUAUCUGGUCUUUCACAAAAUGGGCAGGGUAACGAAGCUCUAGAGCUCUUUGAGGAGAUGCGAUUGGGUGGCACAGAGCCGGAUUACGUUACAUUUGUGAAUGUUCUCUCUGCUUGCAGCCAUAUGGGAUCUGUGGAGAGAGGAUGGAUUUAUUUCAAGAUGAUGUCUAAUGAAUUUGGCAUUGCCCCAAGGGUGGAGAAUUAUGCGUGCAUGGUUGAUGUCCUGAGCCGUGCUGGGAAGUUAGAUGAAGCCAAAGAUUUCAUAGAGUCAGCAACUAUUGAUCAUGGCAUCUGUUUAUGGCGUAUUUUAUUAAGUGCUUGUCGAAACUAUAGGAAUUAUGAAUUGGGAGCAUAUGCCGGAGAGAAGCUAAUGGAGUUAGGUUCACUAGAAUCACAGGCUUACGUGCUAUUGUCAAGCAUCUAUACUUCCCUGGGUAGGUGGGAAGAUGUUGAGCGGGUAAGGAGGAUGAUGAAACUUCGAGGGGUGAGUAAGAAGCCUGGCUGUAGCUGGAUUGAGUUGAAGAGUCAGGUUCAUGUGUUUGUUGUUGGUGAUUUGAUGCAUCCACAGAUUGAUAGUAUAGGUGUUGAGAUCCGAAGGUUAAUCAAGCAUAUGAAGGAUGAAGGAUACCAACCUUCCUCUACCACUUUUUGAAGUUCAUGACAAGUUCAUCUGCAGACACUGUUCAAGGAGCCUCCGGUAUUUGGACUUCUUUGUGCUGAUAAUCAGUCAUGCCCUAAAUGUUAAUGGGAAUGGCUGGUAUAUAUGAAAGUGAUCAAGAACAGUGUUAAGGAGCCAGGAAACCUUCUGUGGAUGGAGAUAGGAUUGGUCAUUCCAGCCAAAUUGGUGGUGAUGGUAGCAAUAGAGAUGGAUUCUGGGCUUUAGGGCCAACCUUGGAAUUGGUUAAGUCUUGGAUGCAGAAGUCUAGGGUCUAGUGUUGUUGGGUCUAAAGACGGCCAUUGCUAAAUAGUGUUAGCAAGAUAAUCAUGGAGUCCGGUUCUGGUGUGCUGGGGAACUUGCUCUAGGAUGGAACUGAUGAUCUGCUGAUUGGAGCUGCUAUUAGGAGAUCUCAGUCGCCUUGGAGGCUAUAGCAUUCUGUUGGAUAUGGUUUGUAGCAUCUGUGGUGAAAUCUUCCCAAGUUGUAUGGAGAAUGAGUUUUAGUAUAGGAUUCAAAGUUACGUUUGUCUUACAGUAAUGCAACUUGAAUCAAAUGUGCAUUGAACUAAACUAACAACAAGGUCUGCCCAAAGAUGGGAGUCACAGCCUAGCUCUGGUGUCACAGCCUAGCUCUGGUCUAUGCAUAGUGAGUAGAUUUUUGUCUUCAAUUUUGUCAUUAAAUUAUCCAAGAGCCAAAUAGUACAAGCUUGCAAGAACUAAAAUAGAAGCCGCAGCAAGUCUGCGCUCUUUGGACUUUUCAAACUGGGCUGAUGUUUCUGUGGUACUUCUAUCCCAUG